AUUGAACGCUGGCGGCAGGCCUAACACAUGCAAGUCGAACGGUAACAGGAAGAAGCUUGCUUCUUUGCUGACGAGUGGCGGACGGGUGAGUAAUGUCUGGGAAACUGCCUGAUGGAGGGGGAUAACUACUGGAAACGGUAGCUAAUACCGCAUAACGUCGCAAGACCAAAGAGGGGGACCUUCGGGCCUCUUGCCAUCGGAUGUGCCCAGAUGGGAUUAGCUAGUAGGUGGGGUAACGGCUCACCUAGGCGACGAUCCCUAGCUGGUCUGAGAGGAUGACCAGCCACACUGGAACUGAGACACGGUCCAGACUCCUACGGGAGGCAGCAGUGGGGAAUAUUGCACAAUGGUCGCAAGCCUGAUGCAGCCAUGCCGCGUGUAUGAAGAAGGCCUUCGGGUUGUAAAGUACUUUCAGCGGGGAGGAAGGGAGUAAAGUUAAUACCUUUACUCAUUGACGUUACCCGCAGAAGAAGCACCGGCUAACUCCGUG
rnacentral:rRNA from 1 species